UACGUAGGUGGCAAGCGUUGUCCGGAUUUACUGGGCGUAAAGAGCGCGCAGGCGGCCGAGUAAGUCGAAUGUGAAAGCCCCCGGCUCAACUGGGGAAGGUCAUUCGAUACUGUUCGGCUCGAAGGUAGGAGAGGGAAGCGGAAUUUCAGGUGUAGUGGUGAAAUGCGUAGAUAUCUGAAGGAACACCAGUGGCGAAGGCGGCUUUCUGGCCUAUUCUUGACGCUGAGGCGCGAAAGCUAGGGGAGCGAACGGG
rnacentral:rRNA from 1 species